UACGAAGGGGGCUAGCGUUGUUCGGAAUUACUGGGCGUAAAGCGUGCGCAGGCGGCUGCUCAAGUCAGGGGUGAAAGCCCAGAGCUCAACUCUGGAAUUGCCUUUGAGACUGAGUGGCUUGAGUACGGGAGAGGUGAGUGGAAUUCCCAGUGUAGAGGUCAAGUUCGUAGAUAUUGGGAAGAACACCGGUGGCGAAGGCGGCUCACUGGCUCGUAACUGACGCUCAUGCACGACAGCGUGGGGAUCAAACAGG
rnacentral:rRNA from 1 species